rnacentral:rRNA from 1 species
UACAGAGGCCUCAAGCGUUGUUCGGAAUCACUGGGCGUAAAGGGCGCGUAGGCGGCCCGCUAAGUCGAACGUGAAAUCCCCAGGCUCAACCUGGGAACUGCGUCCGAUACUGGCAGGCUUGAAUCCGGGAGAGGGAUGUGGAAUUCCAGGUGUAGCGGUGAAAUGCGUAGAUAUCUGGAGGAACACCGGUGGCGAAGGCGGCAUCCUGGACCGGUAUUGACGCUGAGGCGCGAAAGCUAGGGGAGCAAACGGG